rnacentral:rRNA from 1 species
UCAAGAAUCUUCCUCAAUGGCCGAAAGGCUGAAGGAGCGACGCCACGUAUAGGAAGAAGUCCUUCGGGAUGUAAACUAUUUUUUUAAGGGAAUAAGUUUGCCGCAAGGCGAAUUGAAGGUACCUUAAGAAUAAGCCACUGCUAACCUCGUGCCAGCAGCCGCGGUAAGACGAGGGUGGCAAGCGUUAUUCGGAUUUAUUGGGCGUAAAGUGUGUGUAGGUGGCCUGUUACAUCUUUCGUUAAAUUUUUCGGCUCAACCGAAAUAGGACGAAGGAAAUGGACAGGAUAGAGACUGGGAGAGGCAAGUGGAAUUACCGGUGUAGGGGUGAAAUCCGUUGAUAUCGGUAAGAACGCCAAAAGCGAAGGCAGCUUGCUAGAACAGUUCUGACGCUGAGACACGAAAGCGUGGGGAGCAAAAAGG